rnacentral:misc_RNA from 1 species
GAUGAAGAACGUAGUGAAAUGCGAUACUUGGUGUGAAUUGCAGAAUCCCGUGAACCAUCGAGUCUUUGAACGCAAGUUGCGCCCGAAGCCACUAGGCCGAGGGCACGCCUGCCUGGGCGUCACACGCCGUUGCCCCCCCAUCUACUCCUUCGGGAUUGCGGGGGGGCGGAUGAUGGCCUCCCGUGCGCCUAGCCGCGCGGUUGGCAUAAAUACCAAGUCCUCGGCGACGCACGCCACAACAAUCGGUGGUUGCGAAACCUCGGUUGCCCGUCGUGUGCGUUCGUCGCGCAUCGAGGGCUCGAAAAAAUGCUCGGCUCCGGCUGGGCUUUCAACGCGACCCCAGGUCAGGCGGGGUUACCCGCUGAAUUUAAGCAUAUCAAUAAGCGGAGGA